CUCCCCUUUUCUCCUCUUUUGUCUUUUCUCCCCUUUAAUGUCUACCCGUGACUCCCCUCCUCACCUUUUCUCCCCUUUUCUCCCCUUUUUCUCCUCUUUUUUAUCGUCCUCUCCUCACCUCUCUUUGCACAUCUACGUUGGUCUCUCACCUCUCUCUACCAAGUCACUCACUCCUCUCUUCAGCACUUUGCUCUCAUUCUCUCCACUUUAUUGAGCAUGUUUCUGAGCUAAAAUCUAUUCAAGAAGUUGAAGUUGUGGAACAAAUUGCUGUUGGGGAACUUGAAACUGGAAAGGGAGCUAACCAGACAUGCAAUUUGCAAAGAGCUAGAGCUACUCAGUGGAGUUCAAGUAGUUCUGUCCCAGAGUUUGUUCGAAGGGAUUUGCUGCAUCUUCUAUUCCCAAACUCCCCUCCUUUUAAUCCAAUCAUCUGUAGAAGAAACCCUAUUCGAAACUAAGCCAUCUAGUCAACAUUCAGAACUUUGUGGUAUAAGGAAGUUUCCAAGUCAUGGCCUGCUUCGCUGAACGAGAUGACGACAUUGAAAGAUUUCAGGUAUGUUUGUGCUUUGCAAUGAGCUUUACUUGCUUUUACUUGUUAAAAGUGUGAUAGACAUUUAUGCAGAAGGUUAGCAAAUCAAAUACUAUCCGACAGAAGAUGAAAAUGAUUGACAUACGAUCCAUAUUAAAUGAAUAUGGCUCGUCUGAUGAGAAUCAUGAGAUGGAGAGGAAAAUCAAGCUUGCUGUAAAAGAUAAACUUAAAGAAGAUGACAAUCAUAUUGUGGAGAAUAUGUUUUCAAUUCUUUCCUUAGAAGAAGCUGAAAAUUUUGCUAUGAAGAUUAAAUGCAGUCUCUUCAUGGAUAAACUCAAGAAAGUUGAUGGGCUUAAAGAUAAAGAGGAAGAAGUUUUGAAAAAAAUCUGUGAGCAUCUUGAGCCAAUGAUCUACAAUAAGGGAUGCUACAUUAUUCGAGAGGGGGAGCCACUUGAUAUGAUGUUUUUGUCACACGGGGUAGUGUACUCACCUAUGCGACUAAUAAUGGUGGAUCAAAUGGUUCUUCAGGUACUAUCCAUAUUGAGAAAGAGAAAGAUGGUUUGUAUGGUGAAGAGCUUCUAACUUGGGCAGAAGAGUCUUCUAAGAAAUUGUCCAGCUUACCGAUUUCUGCAAUAACUGUCAAGUCCCACAACAAAGUUGAAGUCUUUGCUCUCCAGGCCACCAAUUUUAUUGCUUGUUGUCUCUAAAUUCCCAAGUCAAUUCAAUAUGGAUAGCUAGUACUCUCACCAUAGCUGUUGAUAAUGAAAUCGUGAAUUAAUUUACUAAUCUCAUUCCUAUAAUGCUUUUUUAUUUUACUAUAGAUAGGAUCUACGCCAAGUUUUGCUACACGGUAGGACGUUUCAAGACCUCAAUGCUAUGUAACUCGUUCAAAUAAAACAUGAAAGUGUGAAUCUCUUUUAAUUAACUUUGGCAAUAGAUACAAUUAAUGCUCU